ensembl:lncRNA
UGGAAAUUAACAAUUACUCUAUGUUUUAUUUUAACAUCUGUUAUUUAAUUUAUUGAUCAUUUUGAUUUUGGAUUUUUUUUUCUUCUCUGUGUUCUGUCUUUUCCAUUCUUUCCUUCUCUGUGUUCCUACAUCUGCGUGGGGUUAUGAUGAGGUCAAGGCAGUCAUCUGAGGUUUAGUAUGUUUGACGCUUAAAGUGAUAGCUCUAAUAAAAAUACUAUUUUUUUUUCUUCUGUGGACACAAAAGAUGAUAUUUUAUCUAAAAGAAGUUCCAGUUAAAGUCAAUAAGUCAUUUUUUCAAAUAUCUUCUUUUGUAUUCUGCAGAACAAAGAAAGUCAUACAGACAUACAGAGUGUCGAGUAAAUGACAAAAUUUUCAUUUUUGGGUGUACUGUCCCUUUAACUGUCCUAUAAUCCUGCGAUCAUGAGACUAAACACUGCCGCUCAUCAUCUCACACAAAACAAUGGCAUUCAUCCUCAAAGUUAAACUCAAAUAUUCAUGAUCUCAAACUAAAUACUGUUGUCAUUACCCCAGAAUAAACACUAGUCACUAAGCACAGAUGUCCAAACUAUCCUAAACUAAACUAAAAAUCAGUCACAAAUCAUCCAAUAAAAUGGCCCAUUAUUAUCUUUAUACAUUUUAUUUUGAACUAAAAACUGUCAAUUGUUAUCUCAGACCAAACAGCUGCCCAUUAUUAUUAUUAUUUACCUGCUGUCUGAAAGUAAUGACUGCUAUCUGAUUUUUUUUCUCUGACUAUUGACUGCUGUCUGUUGUGAUCUCAGACUACUGAUGUACACAGAUACACUGCUGUUUAUUGUUUGUGCCUUGGCCUUUAAGAGCUCCAGUCCCUCUCUGCUGGUCAUCACGUUCUCUUCAUCAUGAAUCAAACCUGCCAUCAUUUUGCUUUUUAGGCUAUCCAUCAUUGUUUUGCUCUCGGUGGCAUCAGUAAAGCAUCUGUUCAUUUUCCUAGGACCGGUUCGUUGUGUAUUUUCCUUCUAAAGACCCAACAAAUUAUGUUUUAGUUCUUUUCUUUUUGGUUUCAGAUUAAAUGAUUUCACACUAGUGGCCUUCUAAGCUCUUAUAUUCAUUCCAGUUUUUGAAUAAUAAUCUUUAUUUACAUUCUGGUCAAGGCCAG